GACGAACGCUGGCGGCGUGCUUAACACAUGCAAGUCGAACGGAAAGGCCCUGCUUGCCGGGUGCUCGAGUGGCGAACGGGUGAGUAACACGUGGGUGAUCUGCCCCUUACUUUGGGAUAAGCCUGGGAAACUGGGUCUAAUACUGGAUAGGACCAUGCUGUAGGUGGUGUGGUGGAAAGAGUAGUUUCGGUAAGGGAUGAGCUCGCGGCCUAUCAGCUUGUUGGUGGGGUAAUGGCCUACCAAGGCGUCGCCGGGUAGCCGGCCUGAGAGGGUGGGCGGCCACAUUCGGACUGAGAGGGGGGCCAGAAGCCUACGAGAGGCAGCAGUGGGGGAAAGGGUACAAUGGGCGCAAGCCUGAUGCAGCGACGCCGCGUGGGGGAUGACGGCCUUCGGGUUGUAAACGCCUUUCAGCCAUGACGAAGCCCUUGUGGUGACGGUAGUGGUAGAAGAAGCACCGGCUAACUACGUG
rnacentral:rRNA from 1 species